GUGUGUGUGUGUGUGUGUGUGUGUGUGUGUGUGUGUGUGUGUGUGUGUGUGCGUUUUUCUUCUGUUCUCUGUGUGUUCCCUCACACACUUCUGUUUAAAAUAAUGGAAAUUUAAAUUUUGGCAUUAAAGUGUGUGUUGUGUUUUUUUUUGCUGUAGAAUGUAAAGAUAUUAAUAAUAAAUAAAACAAAUGAAAUUA